AGGUUCUUCCUGAAGCUCCUGAAGAUCUUGUUUGCGAAUUGUCUUGGCGAUACAUUUUCUUGUAUGAGACUAUAACAAAAUCAAAGUUUGAGGUGCUGUCGUCUGAGGAGCCAAUACAUGAGCGAAUAUCACGAAAUGUUGCAUCUGCACUGGCAUCUUUGAAGUAGCCUGGGAAUCUCGGGACUUUUUCAGUUCUGUAUUCUAUAGACCCCUUUCUGAGGAUAUAUUUAAAACUUACAAGUAGCAGAAAUUCUACC